rnacentral:rRNA from 1 species
GACGAACGCUGGCGGCGUGCUUAACACAUGUAAGUCGAACGGAAAGGCCCUGCUUUUGUGGGGUGCUCGAGUGGCGAAAGGGUGAGUAACACGUGAGUAACCUGCCCUUUACUUUGGGAUAACUUCAGGAAACUGGGGCUAAUACCGGAUAGGAGCUCCUGCUGCAUGGUGGGGGUUGGAAAGUUUCGGCGGUUGGGGAUGGACUCGCGGCUUAUCAGCUUGUUGGUGGGGUAGUGGCUUACCAAGGCUUUGACGGGUAGCCGGCCUGAGAGGGUGACCGGCCACAUUGGGACUGAGAUACGGCCCAGACUCCUACGGGAGGCAGCAGUGGGGAAUAUUGCACAAUGGGCGGAAGCCUGAUGCAGCAACGCCGCGGGCGGGAUGACGGCCUUCGGGUUGUAAACCGCUUUCGCCUGUGACGAAGCGUGAGUGACGGUAAUGGGUAAAGAAGCACCGGCUAACUACGUG